rnacentral:rRNA from 1 species
AUGCCGCGUGAGGGAAGAAGGCCUUCGGGUUGUAAAGCUCUUUUGUCAGGGAAGAAAAGGCUGUGGCUAAUAUCCACAACUGCUGACGGUACCUGAAGAAUAAGCACCGGCUAACUACGUGCCAGCAGCCGCGGUAAUACGUAGGGUGCAAGCGUUAAUCGGAAUUACUGGGCGUAAAGCGUGCGCAGGCGGUUUCGUAAGUCUGUCGUGAAAUCCCCGGGCUUAACCUGGGAAUGGCGAUGGAGACUGCGAGGCUGGAGUUUGGCAGAGGGGGGUAGAAUUCCACGUGUAGCAGUGAAAUGCGUAGAGAUGUGGAGGAACACCGAUGGCGAAGGCAGCCCCCUGGGUCAAAACUGACGCUCAUGCACGAAAGCGUGGGGAGCAAACAGGAUUAGAUACCCUGGUAGUCCACGCCCUAAACGAUGUCUACUAGUUGUUGGGUCUUAAUUGACUUAGUAACGCAGCUAACGCGUGAAGUAGACCGCCUGGGGAGUACGGUCGCAAGAUUAAAACUCAAAGGAAUUGACGGGGACCCGCACAAGCGGUGGAUGAUGUGGAUUAAUUCGAUGCAACGCGAAAAACCUUACCUACCCUUGACAUGGAAGGAAUCCCGGAGAGAU